AUUUCACUCAGUGCAGAUUCAUUUAAUGCAGUAUUUUAGAGGAACCAAUUAACAGUACUAAGUGAGGUAUUCCUGUACUUUGAAACUGGAAAUGUAAUGACGUCAGAUACAUCAUCGAGAAACAAAAAACUUCAGUUGGAUCAGGAGACAGUAAACUUACAAGGAGAGGCCGCGGUCUGGGAAAUGAACUUUGGAAUCGGGUUUUGUGUGGUGGUGGUUUGCCCUUCAUGUGUUAAUGUGAUAGAGUGUUGGCGUGCACUGUUCGGCCAACUCCGAGGGGGAUGGAUUCAGGGUUUUCAUGGCUGUUAUAUGGUGGUAAGGUGUGCGAGCACGUUAUAAUGCCG
rnacentral:lncRNA from 1 species